GACCGGUCUGUUUCGUUUGCGAAAGAAAGGAAUCUAGCCCUAUCUGCAGAAGCUUUGGGAAUGUCUUCUUUGCAUAGCAGAAUGCGUGAGUUCCUGAACACUUCAAUCAUACCUCUCUACUGACAAUGGAAGUAGAAUCCAUACCCCAUAGAGCCCUAUGGGGUCACCUUACGAGCAGAUGUGUUCACAACUGCAAAUGAUCAAACAUCUGGGAAAUGUAUGGUUCGCAAUCAUUUCUAAAAACUUCUCUCUCGUGGAUGGAACAUUUAUAAAAGCAAAAAGAGCUGCAAAGACAUCUAUCAGUUUGGAUAUGAAAUAGUCUCAACUGGAUUUUUUGAAAGUGCAUUUUAAGCUGGGAGGGAGGGGUAGAAAACAUGACAGCUGACACGUGUAUAUCAGGAUACGCUGGGAACUGCAUUGAGGAGUGUUUACCUGCUCUUCCACCAUUCUACAAAGAGAAACGUGGAACGUAUUGGCAGUCUCCAAAGAGACUCAUUCAGGACCACAGAUUUGCACAACCUUCUCUGGAAACAAAUGGGGUGACAAUUCUUUUCGAUAUCUUUGCCAGUUUCUCUAUGCUUGGUUUUAAAAGGGUGUGUUUGCCUUGUAAUCGUGGGCACCAGAGGGAAGAAUAUGGGGCUGCUUGGUUUUAAAGCAGGGAUGGGUAAUCUGUGGCACUGCGGAUGUUGGGACUACAUACCCCAUCAUCCUUGACCAUUGCCCAAGUUGGCUAAAGCUGUUGGGACUUGCAGUCUGACAUCAUCUGGAGGGUCAACCCCUAUCCCUGGGUUACUGCUAAAGAGGAGGAAAUGUGUCCCCACCCACAAAGUGAAAUGAGCAUGGUUUGGGGAAAUGGCCUUAAUCACAUCUACUAUCAUGGUCUGUAAUGGUUAAACUUACUGAACCAAACCUAUAUCUGAAAUCUCUAAGGAUGAUCUCUCAGUGGCUUUUACAAGUUUUUUCUCCAUCGGCUUCACUAUGGCUUGCCGUGAACGAACAAGCUUGCUUGUGCCCAAAGAGAAAAUUGUGCCUGCGUUUCUCCUCCUGCAACCAACUGUUGAUGUUCCAUGGUUUCUCUCGCUCCCCCAAAAGACCUAAGUUCUAACCAAAGUUUGGUCUUGGUUUAGCACUCAUGCUUUAUUUGGGGGACUCAGAUUUAACAUGACAUCAGAACUUGGGGAGGAGCACAGCGGGUGUAAUUUCUGUCUGGGCACCAGGGCCAAAUUUUGGCUUGCUGUUGCGUGUGAAACGGGCCACAGGCCGCAUUUGCACAUGACUAAAGCCAUGCUAAACCAUGGUUUGGCCAACUAAACCAUGGUUUCGUCAACAAACGACAAGCCGUCUCACAGGGAAGCGGAGAAACAUGGCUUGUUUCCCCAAAGCUGCUCCUGGUCUUGGGCCUCUGCAAGUAGGGUGUCCAUACAAAGCAUGGUUAAAUAGGGUUGUUGGGUUUCUAUGUAAUGCCAACCUCUAGUUUAAAACAAGCCAUGGUUCAUAAGCCAACAGCAAAAAGGCUUCACAUCGUGGUUUAUUAACAGAACGCAAAACAAGGUUAGUCUGCUGGGCUGGGUUCAUAUGCUUAAACCAUGACCCAGUGUUAUGUGUGAACUGAGGCGAUAUUGGCUGAAUGCUGGAGAUCAGAAUAUCAGGUCUUUUGGUCAACACUUGGGGGGGAUGAGUUUUUAAAAAACAAAAAGGCACUACAGAAUGAACACAGGGGGAAACCCACUAAACGUCCAAGGCAAGCCACACCAAAAUUCAGAAACUGAAUUCAACGUGGCUUCUACAGAAAAUUUCCCCAGGUGCUGUACUUACCUGAAGUUGAUGUACCGUAUUUUUUGCUCUAUAAGACUUUUUCCCUCCUAAAAAGUAAGAGGAAAUAUGUGUGCGUCUUAUGGAGCGAAUGCAGGCUGCGCAGCUAUCCCAGAAGCCAGAACAGCAAGAGGGAUCGCUGCUUUCGCUGCGCAGGGAUCCCUCUUGCUGUUCUGGCUUGUGGGAUUCAGAAUAUUUUUUUCUUGUUUUCCUCCUCCAAAAACUAGGUGCGUCUUAUGGUCUGGAGCGUCUUAUAGAGGGGAAAAUAUGGGUAAUUCAGUCUUCUCUGAAAUAAAGGAGCCCUACCAAAUCUCGUUCUGUUCUUCUAUGAAACAUCUGGGUUCUGCAGUGCAGAUGUUCGAAUGUCAGACUUAGAUCAGGGAGACCCGGGUUCAAAUUCCCACUCAGCUAUGAAGCUCGCUAGGUAACCUUUUGCGGCUGCUAUCUCUCAGCCUGACCUACCUAACAGGAGGCUAAAAUUCGGGAGAACAACAUAAAGUGCAUUGAGCUCAUUGGAGGAGAUUGGAUAGAAAUACAACAGUUUUUAUACCCAGUUUUAAGGCCAGCAAUAUGGCCUUUAAAAUGCUUUCUAGAACAAACUAACAAACCCAAACUAGGCAACUGCUUUCAGUGCAAAUAAUUAGACCUGUGUAAUACGGUAUACAUAGAGGGUAAAUAAUGAAACUGCUCAUUGCCCUUUAUUGGGUAGGUGUCUUGAAUGUGUGAAUGUUUGAAAACUCCUUAUGUGCAAGUACAGAAUUUCCCUUAUUCCUUAUUCAAACCUAUUCCCCCAAAUGAAGGGAGGCAAGAUAAAUCCAUCACACCCCUCCGAUAUUCGGUGGUAGUCAAGACUGAGUGUGAAAGUGCAGGAAAAUGUGGCGAGUUUGGGCUCUGAUCGAACUUCCUGCGAAUCUCGGCUUUACUUUUUUUAAAAAAACCAAAAACGCACAUCAAUUUUUUUGUGCGUAUGGCUGUGAAGAAAUACUGUAUCGUGCAUAGCCAAUACCUGCUGAGAUUUUGGGGGAGCGUGGAAAGGGAUCUGAGCAAGAUUCUGAGAAACAGGUAGGGGCAAGACUACUGAACAAAGCAGCUUUCAUCUCACGGAGUUAUGUAAAAUAAAAUAAAAAUCAGUAGAAAGGGAUAGAGCAAAUAUUCUUCAUUGGUAUGGUUUAUACUAGUUGCAAGAAUCUGCUUUUUUGAUGCAGAUGUUUGGAUUACCGAACUAUGGAUUAUUAUUUUUUAAAGUGCAGCAGAUCUUAAGUCUGGUCCAGAAGGGCUCUUAUUAAAACUAGUCAAAUUCAUGGAGGAAAGGUCUUAAAUUGUUUUAAAAAAAUAUUUAGCUGUAGUGAAGCUAAAUGGAGCUUCCGCGUUCAAGUGCAAUCUACCUUCAAAUACCAGUUGAGGGGGGAGUAGCAGUCCUACUUGAGGGCUUCCCAGAAGCAGCUGGCUGGCCACUGUAACAGAAUCGUAGAAUUGCAGAGUACAACCCCCUACAAUGCAGGAAUCUCAGUAUCAGAAAAAGGAAAUAAAAAUUCUGGAUUAGAUAAACACUUAUUCUAAAUAGUUAUGCAUCCUCUCCUAUUGAUUCACUCCGGCCGAAUCAUAAUCAAAACUCACUUUGCGGAGCAUUUAAACAUUUUGGGCGUUUUUGUCCUCCAUGUACCGAAAACUGCUACAUUUUUGGCACCUAAAGUAUUUUCUUCCCCUGGAAGAGCAAGGCACAGGUUUGUAAAAACCUAGCUUUUCCUUAACCAAAUGCUGAAUUUGUGCAAUUGCGCUUUUUAUCCACAUUCUCUGAUCGGUUUUGAGACAUUUUUUGCAGCUGGGGUGGGGUGGAAUAGGUGGGACUCCAAUAAGGGAAUGUAAAUUGGAUUUUGCUUUGAGCUAAAAUUAGUCGAUUGAAUGAUGAAGGGGAAGUGGGGGGAAGGACACACCUUUGCAUGAAAUUUGCAUAUGCUGAUUUAAAUGUAUAGCUGUAAAUUUAGAAAUGCAGAAAGCACGUCAAAGUGCAAGUAGAUAAAUAGGUACAGCUCCAGCGGGAAGGUAAAUGGCGUUUCCGUGCGCUGCUCUGGUUCAACAGAAGCGGCUUAGUCCUGCUGGCCACAUACCCGGAAGCUGUAUGCCGGCUCCCUCGGCCAGUAAAGCGAGAUGAGCGCCGCAACCCCAGAGUCGGCCACGACUGGACCUAAUGGUCAGGGGUCCCUUAACCUUUACCUAAAUUUAGAAUAGCUGAAAGAAGUGCAGUCUAUCUCACCACGGUGGGGAAGGCUAUGACCAAGUUACCUGCAUGCGCCACAACUUCAACGCCCCUCAUUUCUCCCUUCGUAGGACUCUUUAUCUUUCAGAUAGACUUAGGACUUUCCCCUUCACAUACUCUAUUUAAUAAACAGAGAACUGUUCUUUGACAGGUGUUUAAAUGGACUGCAAAAAAUAGGACCUGUUGCCUUUCUCUGAAUAAAGUAUAAUGGUACAAAUCCAUCACUGAAAAAUGUAAAAAGGACUAUAGAUCUAAUAAUGGAGAAUUAUAAUGGGCAGACUUGAUUAAAGAAGCACUUUCACACAGUAAAAUGUUUUGCAUCAAACUGGAAUGGCGAUACUGUAAGAUAUUUUAUUUAAGCGCUCAACAAUCUGAGCAACGUUUUGCCAUGUGUUUAAGGAACAGGAAACAGUUGUUUCAUGCUUUCUGUUCCUCCGUAUUGACCUAAUAUCAGAAACAUAUCCGUUUGCGAUGGAGAGAUAAAAUCUUCUUUUUUUUAGCAAUACCACGAUGCUGAUAAAUUAAGGUAGUUAUAAAACGGGUGGCUUUUGAACCACAAGAUGUGUUGCUGUGUCACACAGUGGUGAGAUUGCGACAGGGUUAACCAAUUUGCAAAGGUUGAAAUCCAAAACUGAUAAUAUAAACGCUAGGAUUUCAUAAUGUUGUUUGAUGCCCCCCUCCCUGGCAGAAAGCUGUGCAAUCUAUUUCUUUCCAUUCAUCCCUUACAUUUGCAAACCACCUUUCUUCCAAAGGGCAAAAAUCAGCAUGUGUAAUUCUCCUCUUCUUCUCUCACUUUCUCCCUCACGACAACCCUGAGAGGUAGGUUUCUGCUGCUGUACCAUAAAAUGGAAAAUGGUGUACUAUUUUAGAGCAUACCUCAGUACAAUUCCUAACCUCUCAUUCCUUCCUCUUGCCUCAAAGACUUUUGCUUACAGGUGUGAUGUAUAUGUCAGAGGAGAGAGGAAAAAAAAUCAAUGUUCGACAUAUUUACAAAUGUAAAUACAUGUGGGGUUUUUCUUUUUGUAUAUUCCUUGUAAUAGAGCAUGCCAUUAUCAAAGUGAAGUUUCCCGUCAUCAAGACCGGGCACAAAACAGCACACACCUACAAUUUCCUUGUGUUUAAAAGUGGAGCUCCCCCGUCCAAAAACAUUCUUGUAAAACUGCGAGGACGAAUUAAGUCCUCCACCCCUGUCCUAAUGUGUUUCGUAUUUAGGUGAUUUAACUCUAGGAAAUACAGUUUGCUGUUAACGGCGUGUGGCGGCGGUCAUUUUUCUUGCUUUGAAGCCAAGAAAACCUGUGGAUAUUUCAUUAAAAACGCCGAGUCUUCAACAAGAAAUAUGUCUGUUGUAUUUAAAGUCAUAAAAAUUGUUUUUCUAAAAAAAGAUCUGCCGUACUUCCCGAGGUAGCAGGAGUUUUCGGAACAGCCUUUACCAAAACCAGGCAGGCAAGAUGCGAUGAAAAAUAGCAACUGGGAGCAGGAGGCAUGCAAACCAUUUUUCUCAGGCUGGCAGCAGACGGGAGAGUCUUGCUCACCUCUAACUACAGAUGUCAGAGGUGGAACAUGUGCUCUUCUGCUGAACUUCAGUCCUCAGAGACAGGCGUCUUUCCCAGACCCACCCAGAGAUGAUGGAGGCUUUUUACAACGCCUUGUUGUUGUUUUUUUAAAAAAGUUAUUUGAAGUGUUUUAGCUGACCUCCUAUCACAUUUACUUUCUGCCCUAGAUGGUGAGUGGGUGAGCACUAGCAGAAGGGAACGUCAUUUGUUCUUGGCAGUGACUUCCUCACUCAUACGAACCGCCUGACUCCGAGGAACGUGACGGGCGAGUGUGCCGGAUAAACUUUGCCGCAUACCACUGUAACUAAACUAUGACUUAUAAGUGUACAGUGCGCAACUGAAAGAGGAUUAGCGGCUGCUUUUAUGAGAAACGCCAAAUGUGCAGGUGGAAAGAGGCAAGACGUCCUUGGUGAGAUGCGGCAAGCUCUGGGCGCCCAUUGCUGUCUUUUCCACAAACACGGAUUAAAAAUGGG